rnacentral:tRNA from 2 species
GCGGGUGUGGCGGAACUGGUAGACGCACCAGAUUUAGGUUCUGGCGCCGCAAGGCGUGGGGGUUCGAGUCCCUCCACCCGCACCA